UACGUAGGGGGCUAGCGUUGUCCGGAUUUAUUGGGCGUAAAGAGCGUGUAGGCGGCCAAGUAGGUCCGUUGUGAAAACUGGAGGCUUAACCUCCAGCUGUCGAUGGAAACCAUUUGGCUAGAGUCCGGAAGAGGAGAGUGGAAUUCCUGGUGUAGCGGUGAAAUGCGCAGAUAUCAGGAGGAACACCAGCGGCGAAGGCGGCGCUCUGGGCCGGUACUGACGCUGAGGAGCGAAAGCGUGGGUAGCAAACAGG
rnacentral:rRNA from 1 species